AAUCAACGCUGGCGGCGUGCCUCAGACAUGCAAGUCGUACGAUUAAAGCUCUCUUCGGAGAGUGUAUAGAGUGGCGCACGGGUGAGUAACACGUAAGUAAUCUACCUUCGAGUGGGGAAUAACAGUCGGAAACGACUGCUAAUACCGCAUAAUGCAGCGGCACCUAAUGGUGACAGUUGUUAAAGCAUUUAUGUGCUUGAAGAGGAGCUUGCGGCAGAUUAGCUAGUUGGUAAGGUAAUGGCUUACCAAGGCAACGAUCUGUAGCCGACCUGAGAGGGUGGUCGGUCACACUGACACUGAAUAACGGGUCAGACUCCUACGGGAGGCAGCAGUCGGGAAUUUUGGGCAAUGGGCGAAAGCCUGACCCAGCAACGCCGCGUGAAGGAUGAAGUAUUUC
rnacentral:rRNA from 1 species